GGGACUACGAGGGUUUCUAAUCCUGUUUGCUCCCCACGCUUUCGUGCAUCAGCGUCAGUUAUGGCUUAGCGAGCUGCCUUCGCAAUUGGUGUUCUGGGUCAUAUCUAAGCAUUUCACCGCUACAUGACACAUUCCGCCCACCUCAACCAUACUCAAGACUAGCAGUAUCAAUGGCAAUUCCACCGUUAAGCGAUGGGCUUUCACCACUGACUUACUAAUCCGCCUACGCACCCUUUAAACCCAAUAAAUCCGGAUAACGCUCGGGUCCUUCGUAUUACCGCGGCGGCUGGCAC
rnacentral:misc_RNA from 1 species